AAGAAAGCAGCACCAGGUUCUGAUAACAAAACGCAGGAGCCGGCGGUGCAGGGGAAAGCGGCUUUAGAGCAAACACUUUUGCAGCUUGCAAAAGCACAUGGCAGACCCGACCGGGGAAUCGGCCACACGUGGGUCUGGUCGUGCCCCUCUCUGUCAUCCUGACACACGCGGUGUCUUUUAGGGAAAGACGGACGGUGCAGGGAGUCGGUAUUAUCCUUGUUUUUAACCCUCGAUGUAACGGGGCGCUAGUAUACCUGACUUCACGGUACUACACGGCACAACAGACUGGAUCCAUGGCUGAUCUCCAAGCCCACCGCGCAGAGUGGCACAGCCCCAACGGUGGAACAGACCAUCUUAAGAAAAAUCAAAAGGAGCAAUUCUGAAGACAUCCAGACAAUGCAUGGGGAAAUUCUCGGAUAGGGAAGGGGGGAGAUUCAGCAUUCUAACACCUAACUGUGCUGUUUAAAUGUCAUGUUUCUGCCCCCUGACAGGGUCUCUUGCUCUCUCUGGGGGUCUUUCUCCCUUUGUAACUUGCAUUAGAUUCCAGAAGAGGACCCCAAAUGCUGCUGGGGUGGGGGUAGGGCUACAGACUGAGUGAGGGCUAAGCAUUAAAGCAUGUGGGUUAAGACAAUUACAUGUCAAUACUACUGCCUCCUGAAGCCCACUCUCACACUGCUGAACUUGAUUCUAAUAUUAGGAGAGGCUAAACCUCCCUCAAGCCCUGCUGAGACCCCCAGAUGCCAGUAAGACAUGCAGCGAUUCCCAACAUAACCAGACUACCAGCAGUAGCAGUGACAAAAAAGUGGAUUUUUAAAGAAACUUUAUGAUUUCAGGCACCUGGGUGGUGGCCACUGAAAUGGGCAGUGCUGGCUUUUAAG